rfam:Helianthus annuus linkage group 11, whole genome shotgun sequence.
ACCUGGCGUGUGAUGAAUCUCUAAUAACAAAUGGGUAAUUUGCGUCUGAAAGUUUUUCAUUGAUGCUACAUCACCUUGGAGAACUGAUGCCUGCU